rnacentral:rRNA from 1 species
GACGAACGCUGGCGGCGUGCCUAACACAUGCAAGUCGAACGGGACCGGGGGCAACUUCGGUUCAGUGGCGGACGGGUGCGUAACACGUGAGGAACAUGACCUUCGGCGGGGGAUAGCCGGCCCAACGGCCGGGUAAUACCGCGUACGACCUUUCGGGGACAUCCCUGGAUGGUGAAAGCAGCAAUGCGCCGAUGGAGUGCCUCGCGGCCUAUCAGCUAGUUGGUGGGGUAACGGCCUACCAAGGCGACGACGGGUAGCUGGUCUGAGAGGAUGGCCA